GACAGAUGAUCCUAUCUCAUCUUUUUCUUUUCCCCUCCACAUUCAUUCCCAACGAUAAGCAGUCUGUUUCCCUAUGUCUCUUUUUCCUAAAAAAAGCGUUUGAUAAUUGGCAAUAAAGGAGAAGAGAGAAAAAGUAGAGUGAUAGGGUGAAAAGGAAAAGAGUAUGUUAUCUCAGGCCAAACAAAUGCCAGAGCCACCGUCAUUUGCCAAUUUUUUUAGGUUUGAUUUUUUUUUUUUACUUUUUGAUCAAAAUUUUUUUUUAUAUCUAGAAUGUUUGAGAUCGUUUACGGUAAUACCAGAUUUGAUUUUUUUUAUUUUAAAAAAUUAUCAGAUCUGGUUUUUUUUUUUUUAAAUUUCGAUUUUCCCUUUCCCUUUGUUUGGUUUUGAUUCUUUCACCUAUCUUUGUCCCUGUUGGUAGUUGUUGGUUUUGAAAGAAACUUUUUUCUUUCCCUUGCCACACUUGAAGAUAGUGGGGAGGUAGAGCAUUGUGGCCAUAGGUGUGCUUCUUUGGAUGUGGAAAGUAGGCGGGAUUUUUAAUCUAAAAUAUUUUCAACUAUGGUUCUCUGACAACUAAUAUUUUUAUGCUAUUUUUUAAAAAAAUUUUGUGGAUGUAUAUGCUUCGUUCUUCCUUCCGUUCUCUCUUUCAGUUUGUAUUUUAAUUAAAUACAAAUAUGUUGAUAUGCCUUAGAAAUUAAUUUAAACAUCUCAUGCAUAUUUUUAUAUUUAAUUUUUAGUUUAUUUUAAUGAAAUAAUUUAUAAUUUUUAUGUGCAAAUGUAUUUAUGUAUGUUAUCUGAUUAAUAUUGAUUAUAAAAUUUUACCAACUUUUCUAAUUGGUAACAAGUUGUUACCAAUAAUAUGUAUGAUCUCAAAUACCAUAAUGAAUAGCUAUGGUACACCAGGGAAUGUGCUUAAACUAAUUAGUUUUGCAUGGGAUUAUUAAUUUUUAAAUUUUAAUUAUUUAAAUACUAAA
rnacentral:lncRNA from 1 species